rnacentral:rRNA from 1 species
AGCGUUAUUCGGAAUUAUUGGGCGUAAAGGGCGCGUAGGCGGCUUUUCAAGUGACGGGUGAAAUCCCUCGGCUUAACCGAGGAACUGCCUGUCAGACUGGAAGGCUUGAGACCGGGAGAGGUGAGUGGAAUUCCCAGUGUAGCGGUGAAAUGCGUAGAUAUUGGGAGGAACACCAGUGGCGAAGGCGGCUCACUGGACCGGAACUGACGCUGAGGCGCGAAAGCGUGGGGAGCAAACAGG